rnacentral:rRNA from 1 species
AUUGAACGCUGGCGGCAGGCCUAACACAUGCAAGUCGAACGGUAACAGGAAACAGCUUGCUGUUUCGCUGACGAGUGGCGGACGGGUGAGUAAUGUCUGGGAAACUGCCUGAUGGAGGGGGAUAACUACUGGAAACGGUAGCUAAUACCGCAUAACGUCGCAAGACCAAAGAGGGGGACCUUCGGGCCUCUUGCCAUCGGAUGUGCCCAGAUGGGAUUAGCUAGUAGGUGGGGUAACGGCUCACCUAGGCGACGAUCCCUAGCUGGUCUGAGAGGAUGACCAGCCACACUGGAACUGAGACACGGUCCAGACUCCUACGGGAGGCAGCAGUGGGGAAUAUUGCACAAUGGGCGCAAGCCUGAUGCAGCCAUGCCGCGUGUAUGAAGAAGGCCUUCGGGUUGUAAAGUACUUUCAGCGGGGAGGAAGGGAGUAAAGUUAAUACCUUUGCUCAUUGACGUUACCCGCAGAAGAAGGACCGGCUAACUCCGUG